rnacentral:rRNA from 1 species
UAAAGCUCUGUCUUCAGGGACGAUAAUGACGGUACCUGAGGAGGAAGCCACGGCUAACUACGUGCCAGCAGCCGCGGUAAUACGUAGGUGGCAAGCGUUGUCCGGAUUUACUGGGCGUAAAGGGAGCGUAGGUGGAUAUUUAAGUGGGAUGUGAAAUACUCGGGCUUAACCUGGGUGCUGCAUUCCAAACUGGAUAUCUAGAGUGCAGGAGAGGAAAGUAGAAUUCCUAGUGUAGCGGUGAAAUGCGUAGAGAUUAGGAAGAAUACCAGUGGCGAAGGCGACUUUCUGGACUGUAACUGACACUGAGGCUCGAAAGCGUGGGGAGCAAACAGGAUUAGAUACCCUGGGGUAGUCAA